GUAGUGGUUCAGUAACUUCAGUUUGUAAACAGCGCGUAGUGAAUUUUUUUGAUUUCUUUUUGCGCGGUGCCCAAUUUUUAGGCGGGUUCUAAAUUUUUUAAUUUUUUUAUUAGAUAAAAUUUAUGUAUAAUACUUUUAAGUGUUGUUUCUUAAGUCUUCUUUUAAAUUUUUUUCACGAGACUACUUAACUAUAAAAAUACACUUCUAUAAGCUCUAUUCAUAAGAAAAAAGUCAUGUGAACAAAUCUUAAAAGAAAAACCUACAAAAUAACAUCUAAAUACUGUUCUUAAUUCGUUCUCUUUUUUAUUUGUGCAAACAAAACACUGUUACUCUCUCUUUCUCCUCCCAUAGACAAACCCACGCCUCUCAGCCUCUCAAAAAGGCUGGAUUAUCAGGAUGUUGAUUUUGGGAUUAGAGAGGGUGUUAAUUUUAGGACAUAGAUUUUGGGAUUGGAGAAGAUUGCAAGGGAGCCGGAUAAGACUGGGGGUUCACCUAGGGUACUUGACGCUGAGAAGUCGUUUUAUUAUCACGGGGAGAGCUUGAGGCAAGCAUUGGCUGAUGAUUUGCACCAAAGGCUUUCUACAAAAUAGGACAUAAAGUCUUUGAGGAAUGGAUGACUAUGGGCACUGAACACCUUUGCUUCUCUGGCUGAGUUUACUUGGCUUUCUGCAAGUAUAAGCUGAGAUAUAGGAUUGGUGGCAAAACGAUAGCUUUUGUGGACUACUUGAACUCAAAUAUAUUGGUGGCAAAACGAUAGCUUUUGUGGACUACUUGAACUCAAAUAGUUUCUGUAAAGUUUGGAAGCUAAGACAUCAUUUGUAUAUAAAUGGUUGUAAUUACUUUGUGAACAUCUUUAUUGCAAUUUUAGAUUGUAUGGAUGUUUUUUUUAUGGAUUUGGUUAGAAAUGAA